GACGAACGCUGGCGGCGUGCUUAACACAUGCAAGUCGAACGGAAAGGCCCUGCUUUGGUUGGGUGCUCGGGGGGCGAACGGGUGAGUAACACGUGAGUAACCUGCCCUUGACUUUGGAAUAACUUCAGGAAACGGUGGCUAAUACCGGGUAGGAGCUCCGGCUGCAUGGUGGUGGUUGGAAAGUUUCGGCGGGGGGGGAUGGACUCGCGCCUUGUCAGCUGGUUGGUGGGGGAGUGGCUUACCAGGGCUUUGCGGGGUAGCCGGCCUGAGAGGGUGACCGGCCACAUUGGGAUUGAGAUCCGGCCCGGCGUCCUAGGGGGGGCAGCAGUGGGGAAUAUGGACCAAUGGGCGGAAGCAUGAUGAAGAACCGCCGCGUGCGGGAUGACGGCCUCCGGGUGGUAACCGGCUUCAGCAGGUGCCGAAGCGUGAGUGACGGUAAUGGGUAAAGAAGCACCGGCUAACUACGUG
rnacentral:rRNA from 1 species